UCCAGCGCACUCACCUAUCCACUAAACAGCAACUUCAAUGUUGAAAGAUUUUAUUCGUUUUUUUAAAAACACCCCCGUUAUUUUUGCCUAGAUUAAGUGUUUUUAAAAAAACAAAUAAAAUCUUUCAACAUUGAAGUUGCUGUUUAGUGGAUAGGUGAGUGCGCUGGA